rnacentral:rRNA from 1 species
GAUGAACGCUAGCUACAGGCUUAACACAUGCAAGUCGAGGGGCAGCAUGGAGUUUUCUUCGGAAGACUUUGAUGGCGACCGGCGCACGGGUGAGUAACGCGUAUCCAACCUGCCCAUCACUUGGGGAUAACCUUGCGAAAGUAAGACUAAUACCCAAUGACGUCUCUAGAAGACAUCUGAAAGAGAUUAAAGAUUUAUCGGUGAUGGAUGGGGAUGCGUCUGAUUGGCUUGUUGGCGGGGUAACGGCCCACCAAGGCAACGAUCAGUAGGGGUUCUGAGAGGAAGGUCCCCCACAUUGGAACUGAGACACGGUCCAAACUCCUACGGGAGGCAGCAGUGAGGAAUAUUGGUCAAUGGACGAGAGUCUGAACCAGCCAAGUAGCGUGCAGGAUGACGGCCCUAUGGGUUGUAAACUGCUUUUAUAAGGGAAUAAAGUGGGAGUCGUGACUCCUUUUGCAUGUACCUUAUGAAUAAGGACCGGCUAAUUCCGUGCCAGCCGCCGCGGUAA